UCUCAAAAUAUCUUAUUGUACUGUACCACACUGGUAACUCAAACUGUGGAUAAGGGGGGACUGUGGUACAACAGUCUCACCAUUUGCCGGUAUUUCCAAAUCAUUUUUCCCUUCUCUUAUCCUCCCUUGUUUCCUUCUUUCUGUUCAAGGCUGUUGAUUAUUCUCCAGGAGGCUCUUGUAGCUCCAAUCACGUGCUUAUAUGUAACAGAUAGGAGGUUUCUUUCUUCAGCUGUCAGCUCCACAUCCAUCCCUGCUAAUUUCUUCAUUGACUCCACCAUUUCUAUAAGGGAAAAGCAAAAUCUGUACACCUGCAGAAUUAGCACCACAUGGAUGCUGCCAAAGGGUUUUCUGCCUGUGUCCUCUGGGGCGGUGACAUCACAUCCCCCCUGGACAGGAGCCCAUUAAGCAACACUUGGCGCAGUCAGGCAGUGCCACACCAGAAUGUGGGGACCUGUGACUUCAGGGAGUGCUUGGCAGCAAGCCCCAAGGUCCUCAGGGUGCCCCAGGGCCUUCCUUGGAAACCGUACUGCUGUCAGUGCCCUGGCCCCAUGGGCCUGUGAUGAGAGUGCAGCCUGAGCGAUCUACACAAUGCCUUCAGGGUCGUUCUUCCAUCGUCCUGAAACAUUCAAGAGAAUGAAGCUGCUCCUUCAAUACUUUGCUUAGAUAUUUCUUCUGCCAAAUUUCAGGUUCAUCGCUGGCAAGUUCUGCCUUCCAGAAAACACUAGGACAUGAGCACAAUUCAGCCAAGUUCUUUGUCACUUUAUGACAAGCGUCACCUUUCCUCCAAUGCCCGAUAACGUGUUCUUCAUUGCCAUCUGAGGCUUCAACUGAAUGAGUUUUCCCUUCUGUAUUUUUAUUUUUUAAAGAGACUGGGUCUCCCACUGUUGGCCAGGAUGGUCUUGAACUCUCAUCCUCAAACAAUCCUCCCAUCUUGGCCUCCCAAAGUGCUAAGAUUCCAGGCAUGAGACACCAUGCCCGACACCCUCCAUAUGCUACCAACAUUCUGUCCAGCUCUCCUCUUCUCAGCCCUCGCCAGAAUCACCCUUAACCAAGAGUCACAGGGAGAAGACAGCCACCCACACUUCAAGAGACAGGCCUGGAACAGAGCCUUCCUGCACAGCCUCAGAAGGGACCCACCCUGAUGCCACCUUGAUCUUGGACCCAUGGCCUCCAGUAUUGUGAGACAGUAACAUUCUGUUGUUAAAGGUGCCCAGUCUGUGGUACUGUAAAACAGCCCUAGGAAACUAACACAGCCUGUUAGCCCACAGAUGGUGGAGAGAUGGAAUGCUCAGUGGAGCUCCAGGCUUACUGUCUACAGCUCCCAAAGUGCGCUACGGGACCCUUGGGUGGGUGAGGUAUGCAAGGUAAUUUUGGGUGGUGCAGGGUGAAAAAUUUCAAUUGACAUAAAAAUGUGUUUAUCUUACUGGGUAAAUCAGGGGUCCUCACCUGUUAGGAAUCAGGCUGCACAGCAGGAGGUGAGCAGCCAGCCAGCAAGCAAAGCUUCAUCUGUAGAAACAGCCGCUCCCCAUCCCUCACAUUACCACAUGAGCUCUGCCACCUGUCACAUGAGUGGUGCCGUUACAUUCUCAUAGAACCCAACAGUGAACUCAGCAUGCCAAGGAUCUAGAUUGCGUGCUCCUUAUGAGAACCUAAUGCCUGAUGAUCUGUGACUAUCUCCCAUCACCUCCUGAUGGGACCAUGUAGUUGCAGGAAAACAAGCUCAGGGCUCCCACUAAUUCUAUAUUAUGGUGAGUUGUGUAAUUAUUUCAUUAUAUGUUACAGUGAAAUAAUCAUAGAAAUAAAGCACACAAUAAAUGUAA